AGAAGUUGGAGAGAGACAAAUGCCAGAAGAAAUACUUUGUUUUCUCUUCCUUUCUGCAGCAGAGAUACUACGGGGCUUACCAACAAGAAUUUAACAAGAAGCAAACAUCUGCUGAAAUGGACCAAGGAAACUGAGGCAUUUGGCCGCCAGAACACUUUUUGGCUUAUUUAUUUUGAACCACUUAGACACCUUGCUUCCAGUGGAACAAUGAUCUCAUACAGAGCUCCACUUUCCAUUGUGAUCAUGGUCGUUGCUUAUUAUGGGACAAAAUGGCAUCAUCUCAGCAAAUGAAAAAUUCAAUUCUGUACAUUUACUCUAAUCAGUAAUUAAUUCCAUGCUAAACUAAUAAAAAUACAAUGACC
rnacentral:lncRNA from 1 species